rnacentral:rRNA from 1 species
GACGAACCGUGCGAACGUUGUUCGGAAUCACUGGGCUUAAAGGGCGCGUAGGCGGGCUGUCAAGUCCGGGGUGAAAUCUUUCGGCUCAACCGGGAAAGUGCCUUGGAUACUGAUGGUCUGGAGGGAGGUAGGGGUAUGUGGAACUUCCGGUGGAGCGGUGAAAUGCGUUGAUAUCGGAAGGAACGCCGGUGGCGAAGGCGGGUCUCUGGGCCGAUACUGACGCUGAGGAGCGAAAGCGUGGGGAGCGAACAGG